AUUGAACGCUGGCGGCAGGCCUAACACAUGCAAGUCGAACGAGUGGCGGACGGGUGAGUAAUGUCUGGGCAACUGCCCGAUGGAGGGGGAUAACUACUGGAAACGGUAGCUAAUACCGCAUACCCUCGUAUGUGCCCAGAUGGGAUUGGCUAGUAGGUGGGGUAAUGGCUCACCUAGGCGACGAUACCUAGCUGGUCUGAGAGGAGGACCGGCCAAACGGGAACUGGGAAACGGUCCAGACUCCGACGGGAGGCAGAAGGGGGGAAUAUUGCAAAAUGGGCGCAAGCCUGAUGCAGCCAUGCCGGGUGGUGGAAGAAGGCCUUCGGGUUGUAAAGUACUUUCAGCGAGGAGGCGGUACUCGCAGAAGAAGCACCGGCUAACUACGUGCCAGCAGCCGCGGUAAUAC
rnacentral:rRNA from 1 species